rnacentral:lncRNA from 1 species
CCAUUUAAGGGUCAAAUCAAUAAAAGAGAAUUUUUCUCAACAAAGUGUGCCCAAAUCAUUUUUUAUUUUAUCUGUUUGUUUGCAAAGAACCUUUUGUUUUUUAUAAACAUUACUUUUUAAAAACUAUUGGAGAAAAUAAAACGCAUGUUUUAAAAAAGUGGUAAAAAUUGCUUUUGAAACAGUAAGCGGACAAUCCUUUAGUCCCCAAGAUUCACUCUUGUCUUUCAUAAAGGUGCAGGACUGAUUGCAGACGGUUAU